CACAUUCUCUGUGGCCCUGCACAAGAAAUGCUCCCAUGCACCUCAGAGAGCAUUAAUCAUGGCUACAUUCCAGUAACGGAUACACCACGGCCUUCCCAAUUAAACAGCAGAUAGCAACUGUACCAUAGUGCAGACAAGUAGCAAAGAAAGGUGACACCAAGUACACAUGUGUCAAGCAGGAGGAAAAAAUUUGAGCACAGGCCCAUCAAAACACCCCCAGCUGACACUUCUUGCAACCCUGAGGAGGCUGAAACUCUCUGAACACAUCCAGGACUGCAGAGAAAUGCUCCCCAGACACGGGAGUGUCUGCCCCGGGACACCUGCAAGGCUGCCAGGCUAGUGCCUCACCUUCUUGAUCACCAAUAUAAACUUGCAAAAUAAACUAUAAAAUUUGGUCCCAACUUGCAACACUUUUAGGCAGCAAAUUAUGAAAUGACUGAGCUAAAUUUUAAUGUUUGAGUGGGAAAAAGGCUAUUAAAACACAAGCACCAGAGAAAACGGAAAUGUCAGGGUGCCUCUGCUAAAGAGCUUAUCAACAACUGACUGUGCCCAGAGAGUUCUGGAUGAGGUCAAAGCCCAGCCCAUUUCCCUGACAUCAUCUCCCAACAAGUUUCAGGUCACAGUGCCCACAGUGGUAACACCAGAAAUUCUAUUUGUCAGCAUUAGAAGAGCUAGGAAUACUCUCUCCUCCCUCCUUAGCCCAACAGCCUUUUCUGUCAGGCUGGGUCACAACGAUACACUAAUUUGCCAUUCUUAAACUAUACCUAUAAGAGAGAAGCACACCUGCGUGGGAUAAACAUUAUCCCACCUGGGAUUAUCAUUUACUCACCUGGAAAAGGGCAGGAGCUUAGGUUGUUCAGAUAGGAGGCACUAAAACUGCUGCUUUUACUACUGCCCGCUCAGUCAAGAAACUCAUUGCAUACACCAAGCAGCCAAAAAUCAGUAAUUGUGCAAAAACUUGGCUUUCUUAUCUACUAAUUUACAGCCUGAUGCAAAACUGAUCAUGCUCAUGCAUGG